GCGUGCCUCCUAUUCCUAGUAUCACUACACAAGCACUGAUGACCGCGAUCGUCAGUUGGUGGCCUGUGCUGCUGGUGGUGGAUUAGGAGGCAA
rnacentral:pre_miRNA from 1 species